CCUACGGGUGGCAGCAGUGAGGAAUAUUGGUCAAUGGGCGUAACCCUGAACCAGCCAAGUCGCGUGAGGGAUGAAGGUUCUAGGGAUCGUAAACCUCGUUUAUAAGGGAAUAAAGAGCGGGACGUGUCCCGCAUUGUAUGGACCUUAUGAAUAAGGAUCGGCUAACACCGUGCCAGCAGCCGAGGUAAUACGGAGGUUCCGAGCGUUAUCCGGAUUUAGUGGGUUUAAAGGAGGCGUAGGCGGCCUUUGAAGUCAGCGGUGAAAGUCUGUGGCUCAACCAUAGAAUUGCCGUUGAAACUGGGAGGCUUGAGUGUGUUUGAGGCAGGCGGAAUGCGUGGUGUAGCGGUGAAAUGCUUAGAUAUCACGCAGAACCCCGAUUGCGAAGGCAGCCUGCCAAGCCAUGACUGACGCUGAUGCACGAAAGCGUGGGGAUCAAACAGGAUUAGAUACCCGAGUAGUC
rnacentral:rRNA from 1 species